AUUGAACGCUGGCGGCGUGCUUAACACAUGCAAGUCGAUCGGUAACAGGUGUAGCAAUACAUGCUGACGAGAGGCGGACGGGUGAGUAAUGCUUGGGAAUCUGCCUAUUAGUGGGGGACGAACCCGGGGAAACGUCGGGCGUAAUACCGCAUACGCUCUACGGAGGAAAGCCGGGGACCGCAAGGCCUGGCGCUAAUAGAUGAGCCCAAGUCGGAUUAGCUAGUUGGUAGGGUAANGGCCUACCAAGGCGACGAUCCGUAACUGGUCUGAGAGGACGACCAGUCACACCGGAACUGAGACACGGUCCGGACUCCUACGGGAGGCAGCAGUGGGGAAGUAUUGGACAAUGGGCGAAAGCCUGAUCCAGCGACGCCGCGUGGGUGAAGAAGGCCUGCGGGUUGUAAAGCCCUUUCAGUGGGGAAGAAAAGCCUCGACCUAACACGUCGGGGUCUUGACGUAACCCCAUAGAAGAAGCACCGGCUAACUCUGUGCCAGCAGCCGCCGCCGUAAC
rnacentral:rRNA from 1 species